GACAGAGGGUGCAAACGUUGUUCGGAAUUACUGGGCGUAAAGCGUGUGUAGGCGGCCUUAUAAGUCGGAUGUGAAAGCCCAGGGCUCAACCCUGGAAGUGCACUCGAUACUGUAAGGCUUGAGUACUGGAGAGGUUGGUGGAAUUCUCGGUGUAGAGGUGAAAUUCGUAGAUAUCGAGAGGAACACCGGUGGCGAAGGCGGCCAACUGGACAGAUACUGACGCUGAGACACGAAAGCGUGGGGAGCAAACAGG
rnacentral:rRNA from 1 species